GACGAACGCUGGCGGCGUGCCUAACACAUGCAAGUCGAGCGAUGAAAUUCCUUCGGGGAUGGAUUAGCGGCGGACGGGUGAGUAACACGUGGGUAACCUGCCUCAAAGUGGGGGGUAGCCUUCCGAAAGGAAGAUUAAUACCGCAUAAUAUUAGAUUUUCGCAUGAAGAACUAAUUAAAGGAGCAAUUCGCUUUGAGAUGGACCCGCGGUGCAUUAGCUAGUUGGUGAGGUAAUAGCCCACCAAGGCGACGAUGCGUAGCCGACCUGAGAGGGUGAUCGGCCACAUUGGAACUGAGACACGGUCCAGACUCCUACGGGAGGCAGCAGUGGGGAAUAUUGCACAAUGGGGGAAACCCUGAUGCAGCAACGCCGCGUGAGUGAUGAAGGUCUUCGGAUUGUAAAGCUCUGUCUUUUGGGACGAUAAUGACGGUACCAAAGGAGGAAGCCACGGCUAACUACGUGCCAGCCGCCGCAGUAACAC
rnacentral:rRNA from 1 species